rnacentral:rRNA from 1 species
AUUGAACGCUGGCGGCAGGCUUAACACAUGCAAGUCGAGCGGGGAAGGGUAGCUUGCUACCUAACCUAGCGGCGGACGGGUGAGUAAUGCUUAGGAAUCUGCCAUUUAGUGGGGGACAACAUUCCGAAAGGAAUGCUAAUACCGCAUACGUCCUACGGGAGAAAGCAGGGGAUAUUCGGACCUUGCGCUAAAUGAUGAGCGUAAGUCGGAUUGGCUAGUUGGUGGGGUAAAGGCCUACCAAGGCGACGAUCUGUAGCGGGUCUGAGAGGAUGGUCCGCCACACUGGGACUGAGACACGGCCCAGACUCCUACGGGAGGCAGCAGUGGGGAAUAUUGGACAAUGGGCGAAAGCCUGAUCCAGCCAUGCCGCGUGUGUGAAGAAGGCCUUUUGGUUGUAAAGCACUUUAAGCGAGGAGGAGGCUACUAGUACUAAUACUACUGGAUAGUGGACGUUACUCGCAGAAUAAGCACCGGCUAACUCUGUGCCAGCCGCCGCCGUAA